CCCCCCACCCCGCGCUUCCGCUUUGAGUCCUUCUGGCUAAACCAGUUGGGAUUUGUUGAGGCUGUUAGUGCGCAUUGGGAGGCGGCGCGCGCCUCUCCUCACCGGUCUCUCUCUGUCGUGGACUCCUAGCACUUCUCUGCUAAGAGAGCUCACCAAUUUAUGGGGUUGGGAGCCAACCUUGGUAGGAACUUUCAUGAUAGGAAGAAGGCUUUUCUCGACUUCAUCUAGGCACUGAACCUUAGGGAUGACACAUCGGGCCUUUCGUCCAACGAGUGGCUUCAACGUUAUGAUCUUCAGGACCAGCUCACGGUCAUUUACACUAAUGAGGAGGCCUACUGGCGUCAGCGUGCGACCUAGAAGUGGGUUUUCAAGGGUGACACGUAUACGACAUAGUUCAUGAUAGGCAAUGGACAGAGAUGGUGGAACACUAUCCCCCUCUUGUGGGACGGUGAGACCCUCCUCCAACGGCCGGCUGACAUUCGCGCACACGUCGAUGGUUUUUAUAAAGCCCUUUUGAUGCCCUCCCCUCAGGGAGGCUUGGCCUUGGCCCCCAAUAUCUGGGCCGAGCAACAGCGCAUCUCGGGGGCCGAGAACGCAGCCCUCACGGCCCCUUUUUCAGAGGAAGCCUGGAUGGCCAUCAAGGGCAUAAAUCUGAUAUCCACCCCGGGCCCUAAUGGCCUCCCGGUUAAGUUCUUCCGAAUGUUCUGGAGAGUCAUUAAGCAUGAAGUGAUGGCUCUCUUCGAGGAGUUCUACAUGGAAUCCAUUGAUGUGACCUGACUUAACUAUGGGAUCAUCACCCUCAUUCCCAAGGUUCCUAGGGCUUCGAACAUCCACCAGUUUCGCCCGAUCAUGGUGAUCAAUGUGAUCUUCCGCAUCCUGGUGAAUUGGUACGCCAAUAGGAUGACCUUGCUGGCCGACCGUGCCACCCAUCCCAAUCAGUCGGCCUUCAUCAAGGCCGGUAUAUUCCAUGAAGUCCUUCAUGAGGUUCGCGCCAAAAGCUAG
rnacentral:rRNA from 1 species